rnacentral:rRNA from 1 species
UGAACUUAAGCAUAUCAAUAAGCGGAGGAAAAGAAACUAACAAGGAUUCCCCUAGUAGCGGCGAGCGAAGCGGGAAGAGCUCAAAUUUGUAAUCUGGCGUCCUCCGGGCGUCCGAGUUGUAAUCUAUAGAGACGUUUUCCGUGCCGGACCGUGUCCAAGUCCCUUGGAACAGGGUAUCAAAGAGGGUGACAAUCCCGUACUUGACACGACGACCGGUGCUCUGUGAUACGUUUUCUACGAGUCGAGUUGUUUGGGAAUGCAGCUCAAAAUGGGUGGUAAAUUCCAUCUAAAGCUAAAUAUAGGCGAGAGACCGAUAGCGAACAAGUACCGUGAGGGAAAGAUGAAAAGCACUUUGGAAAGAGAGUUAAACAGUAUGUGAAAUUGUUGAAAGGGAAACGAUUGAAGUCAGUCAUGUCCAUUGGAUUCAGCUGGUUCUGCCAGUGUAUUUCCUUUGGACGGGUCAACAUCAGUUUGAGCCGACGGAUAAUGGCAGAGGGAAUGUGGCACCCCCGGGUGUGUUAUAGCCCUUUGUCGCAUACGUCGGCCCAGACUGAGGAAUGCAGCU